rnacentral:rRNA from 1 species
UACGGGGGGGGCAAGCGUUGUUCGGAAUUACUGGGCGUAAAGGGCUCGUAGGUGGCCAACUAAGUCAGACGUGAAAUCCCUCGGCUUAACCGGGGAACUGCGUCUGAUACUGGAUGGCUUGAGGUUGGGAGAGGGAUGCGGAAUUCCAGGUGUAGCGGUGAAAUGCGUAGAUAUCUGGAGGAACACCGGGUGGCGAAGGCGGCAUCCUGGACCGGUUCUGACGCUGAGGCGCGAAAGCGUGGGGAGCAAACGGGG